rnacentral:rRNA from 1 species
UACAGAGGGGGCAAGCGUUAUUCGGAAUUAUUGGGCGUAAAGGGCGCGUAGGCGGCUUGGCAAGUGGAUGGUGAAAUCCCUCGGCUUAACCGAGGAACGGCCGUCCAAACUGCUUCGCUUGAGACCGGGAGAGGUGAGUGGAAUUCCCAGUGUAGCGGUGAAAUGCGUAGAUAUUGGGAGGAACACCAGUGGCGAAGGCGGCUCACUGGACCGGUACUGACGCUGAAGCGCGAAAGCGUGGGUAGCAAACAGG